CAUACAAUGCCAAUGAAAGCUGUUUUCAAUACCAUGAUAUAAAUGCUGUUGGAUAUAAAAGGAGAUGAAUGUCACAGUUGCAUCACUUAAAGUCUCUGGGACUCUGUUUUUGAAACACUGAAAUGAGUUGUUGGUGACCUCUAAGAACUCUUCCAACUUUUAAAACUAUGACCUUGAUGUAAAACGCUGUGUGGAUCCUUCCAUUAGACUGAAGAAUUCCUAGAGGUGGAGUGAAUGCUCCUUAAUGGAAAAGCAUCAUUAAAGCAAGUUGGUCUUAAAUUUGGAAAGGCCAAGUUCAGUCAUAAGCAGGUAAAAUAUAUAUUCUCUAAGUUCUUGUUUCUUUAUAUAGGACUGCACCCCAAACCCUGCCCAUGUGAAGAUUCUAUAAGGUCAGUCAUUUUCAUGGGUUGAAGCAUUAUGGACCUUCCCCAAAGAUUGGAAAUGCCACAGGCAAUGGAGAAUGAAUGAUGAAAGUAUUAGUAAAACUGGUUACUUGCCUACAGAUGUCCACACAUGCGACUACUCAUGAUUUAUUGCAACAGUUAUCAAGUUAGUUGGUUUCAUAUAAUUCGUUAGCAAUUAGUUGCCAUG